rnacentral:rRNA from 1 species
UACGGAGGGCGCGAGCGUUGUUCGGAAUUACUGGGCGUAAAGCGUGUGUAGGCGGCUUCUUAAGUCUGGUGUGAAAGCCCGGGGCUCACCCCCGGAAGGGCAUUGGAUACUGGGAAGCUAGAGUACCGGAGAGGAAGGUGGAAUUCCUGGUGUAGCGGUGAAAUGCGUAGAUAUCAGGAGGAACACCGGUGGCGAAGGCGACCUUCUGGACGGAUACUGACGCUGAGACGCGAAAGCGUGGGGAGCAAACAGG